CAACAACGUAAAGAGUUUGAAUAAGUCUCUUGAGGAGGAAAGAGAUUCAAGUUUGAAGAUUAAUUCGGACCUCCAACAGAAGCUUAAUGAUGCGGAAUCUACGAUCAAAUCUUCUAAUGACAAGAUUGGAUUUUUGGAGCAUCAAUUUCAUGAAUCGCACAAGUCCAAUCAAGUCUUGAUCGAUCAAGUUCGUCAACUCCAAUCCGAUCUUCAACGAUUUUCUUCCGGAUCAAAGAAAUUGGACCAUAUGCUUGGAUUGGGUCAAACGAACAAGCUUGGACUCGGUUAUGAACGCACAUAUGUUGAGAAGGCGUCAACCGCAUCUUCUAAUGCCUCAACAACUUCGAAAGGCAAAGUAUGUCAUAAAUGUGGCAUCAACGGACAUAUUAAAAGGAAUUGCCCAAAUAAGGAAAAGAAGAAACAAUUGGCAAUGUCUACACAUCGAUUGACACUCUCAAAACCUCAAUCGACAUCGUCUACAACUCGACUUCCCCCGCGGAAUCAAAAGGAAAAUCAAAUUAGU
rnacentral:lncRNA from 1 species